CUCCAGCCGAGGCUGCUCCCAUGACCCCUGCAAGGCUCCUCUGCCUGUCCAGGUGGGGGACAGGGGUUCCCCGGCAACCUGCUGGUCCCGAAGGAGGGCAGGGACAAAGGAACUCCGGAGGAGGGGGUGGCUCUCAAGGUUGCCAGCCUCAUCAUUUUGCAGAGGAGGAAACUGAGGCAUGCAGAGGUUAAGCGGUUUGUCCAAGGCGCCUGAGCAGGAAGUGAGGAGUCGGAUUCUAAGCCUGAGUCAUUUCCACUACUGAGCUGCCUUCCCAGCGAGAGUAAGAUUAAGGGUCAACCAUCUGGUGAGGUUCAUGAAAGAGGCGACUUCUUGUUUCCUCAGUGUCUAAUGCCACUCCCCCAUUCAAACAAAAAUACAGAGGUACUGUGCUAUAGCUGUAUUUUAUGUAAGUAUAUUCCUCUGGGCUUAUCCAGAACCAAACCAUGCCUUGGGAAUGCUGGCACAACUCUUCAGCUAGAGCUGGAAUCAGGCGCAGAUCCCAAGCACAGCCUCUCAGAAACCCUGCUUUCAAGGAGGGGGCUGUGGCUCUCCGGUGUUCCACAUUAUCCUACCACCUCCCUCCUCUACCUGAAGAAAAAGACCCAACUUGUCUGUGAGCCUGAAGGAGAUGAGGAAACUCAAGCACCUUCCCUGGCAACAAGCAUCCCUCAGGAUCUGAGUACUGGAGGCCCCAUAGGCAGUGGUGCGACUACAGGUCAGAGAGACCUCACUCUAGCAUGCCUGAACAGAAGGAAGGAAAAGCUCCAGGCUUGGGUUCCAAGACCACCGCAAGGGGCUGGGCAUUUCUGAUUCCUACGUGUGUGGACAGAAACCAGGAGUCGCAUUGCUUUUGCCUAUAAGACCACUUGAAAUAACAAGACAAGAUAAUGGAGGAAGGGGAAAGAAUAAUUAGGAAUUUCUGUUACCUGUAUAUGUACAUUAUGAGAACUUUAUCUGCUCCUCACCUCCUCAGUCUGAAUAACAGAUUCAAAGGAAAUUUCCCCCAGUUUACUAGAUUUAUUAAUUUACCGAUGUCUGAUCAGUCAGCAAUUAUGAACACUUACUGUGCAGAGAACACACGUCCAUCUCCAUAGUAAAGAGGAAGCAGGUCAUGGGAGCGGAAAGAGCUCUAAGUAGAGGACUGGAAAUCCUAGGACCCAGUCCUAUCCUUCCACCAAAUAGCCAUGUGACCUUGGGCAAGAUACUUGCCUUAACUGGGUUUCAGUUUUCUCAUCUGUAAAUUAAGUGUGCAUGUGGGACGGCGUUGGAGUAGGUGCUCUUCAAGGUUCCUUUCUUCUAGCUCUAAUAUUCUUGGGCUCUAUGAGUCGUAAACAAGUUCAAAGAACACACCAGCACCAAACACAAAGGAUGAUCUCAGAGAGCAGGUGGGGCUAGGUACCAGCUCUAUUUCCUUGGAAUGCUGUACAUGUAUCUGUCUCAUUGCACCUGAGACCACAGACCACCUGAAGUCCAGGAAGUACGUGGUAGAAGGGUUCCAAUCAUGAAGGUGAUGGUUAAAGGCUAUAGCCUGAACCUGCUUAAAGCAUUAAGUUACUAUGACCAAUGAAGGGCAAGAAGUGAAAAGUCAGUGGUCCUGAGCUGGGUGCCUUUGGCGCCCCCUACUGGGCACCAAAGAGCCUGCUGGGCAGCUUCCAUUGCCUCAGCAGGCAGCAAGCAAGACUGAGAACAGGACUGUCACAGCUGUUUAAUAGGACUACCUUCCUGGUCUGUAGUCCGCUCUCUAUAAGAGUAUGUUUCACUCUCCAGAAUUACACAGACCAUUGGUCCACACAUUCAGAGGGCACUACGGUGCUGCUAUAGGACGUCUUAACCAAACAUCAAGGUGCAGAGUAAUAAACCUCAGGGUUCAGAACACCAGGUGCAGCCCAGAUGGAGAGGAGAGAAGAAAGCAACAAGCAGGUAUUUCGCUGUACAAAUCCCCAGUGGAGAGAAGGUCUUGGGAAAUGCAGCAGAAAAAUGUUGACUGCAGGUAGAGGAUGGAGCUGGGUUUGGGGGUAUGAACUGAGAGCCCCACUAAAAGAUCUACAGGCUGAUGCAGCUGCCCUAGGAGUUCAAAACACUCAUUCAUGUUCAGGGAUGAGGUACAGGAUACAGCCCCAACUGAGCAGCCCACUUUUGACCUUCUCCAGAGACCAUUAGUACCAACUGUAAACCAGGAUAUUCUGUGGUCCACUGAGCCAGCACCAAGACCUUAAACUCCCUUCAUUGUCCCUUAAAUGGACUUUAGGACCUGCUGCCAGAAACAUGUUCUUAGUCAAGUCAGACUGAGAGAAAAAGCUUCCUCAAGGGCCAUAUUGGAAGAACCGCCAUAUUCCCACUUUCCAUUCUCCAUCUCCCCUUCCUCAUGGCUGAGAAUGAGGUACAGGGUGACUCUGAAUUCGCUCUAAUUCAGUCUUGGGUAGCUGCAGCCCCAAGUCAUCAGGGUCAAAAAAUCUCCCACCAACAGCGUUUCUCUUCCCACAAGAGUUCUCCCCUGAUUCAAGCAGCACUACAGAGUUGUCUCCUAUCCCUGGAACCUUCUUGCCUUCUUUUCCACCUGGCUUCACUUGGGAAGUCCUGCACCCAUCCCAGAAGACACCUCAAGUGUGACUCAAGAAUAUGUCUUGCCUGGAGAGCUGAAGCACCUCCUGGGACACACAGAAGCCACACUAGGUGCACACCUUACCACCACCAGCGGCAAUAUUCAUUAGUCAUUCCCCGAGGAAGGAAAGUGACCCCCCUCCCCAACCCCAGAAACACUUCCCGGCCACUCUGGGAGGCUCCUAUCCAGGCUGGGAUGACUCUGGUUUCUUGAGUUGGUUUCUGCAGAAACAGGACUAACCAGGACUCCCAACUACUGUACUGCGAAGAAGCGCGCUGCAUUGCUGGGCAUGCCCCCAAGCUCGGCCUGCUGCCCCAUCAAUGCCUCCAUGUGUCCCCACUGGGCUGAGGAGGAGCCCUGGUCCCCCUGGAAUGCCUGAAGCUGGCUUGCCUGAGAUAGGCUGAAAGCAAGCGGACCACACCUCGGUCCAGCAAAGGCAGCCGGCAGCUACGCCGCGCGCUGGGCUGGCUCCCCGAGCUCUCUGCCACCCAGCGCUGUGCCCGGGAGCUCGGCUUUCCCGGGGAAGAAGAGCUAGCUUCCCCUAGGGCUCCUCCCCAUCUUGGAAGCCUAGGCACCCGGCCGAGGCCAGUAGCUUCCCAGGCCCGGAGCUGAGCCUGGUUCGCUGGGUGACUCCCCACUACCCCAGGCACAUCCCUCCUCACCUGCUCCGCCCCCUCCCAGCCCCGGUGCCCUCUCCCCAAACAGCUGACCUCCAGGACGCCCCCGACACCUUCUCUGCAACUAUGAGGGCUAUCGCCCCCGCACCUCCGCUCCCACCUCUCCUCCACCUCCGGCCCCGCACCCGCCUCUACCCCAGCCCGCGGGAGGCUCUGCGCGCCAGUCGAGUCCUGCGCCUCUUGGCAAGUUGGAAGCCAAGCCGCCGCCGCCUUAGCGGUCUCCGUCUUCCCCGAUUCCCGGGCGGCACCCCCGCCAGCCCGGCGGGCGGAUCGGGGUGGGGCGCAAAGGGCGGGAGAAACUUUCUCUGCCUGAGUGGGUGAGGGGCACCGGAGCGGGU